AAAAAAAACAAACCCUGGUUUCUGUGCCCAACGUUUAACCGUCCGUCUUAUUUUAAAAAAUUAUGAAAAAAAAAUAAAAAGACAAAUCACGCAUAAAAUAUUAAUCAUGUUUUAUCAUCUAACAACAAUAAAAAUACGAAUUAUAAAAAAAUUUCAUAUAAGACGGACAGUCAAAGUUGGACACGGAUACCCAGGGUUUGCCUUUUU
rnacentral:pre_miRNA from 1 species